rnacentral:rRNA from 1 species
CUAACACAUGCAAGUCGAACGGUAACAGGAAGAAGCUUGCUUCUUUGCUGACGAGUGGCGGACGGGUGAGUAAUGUCUGGGAAACUGCCUGAUGGAGGGGGAUAACUACUGGAAACGGUAGCUAAUACCGCAUAACGUCGCAAGACCAAAGAGGGGGACCUUCGGGCCUCUUGCCAUCGGAUGUGCCCAGAUGGGAUUAGCUAGUAGGUGGGGUAACGGCUCACCUAGGCGACGAUCCCUAGCUGGUCUGAGAGGAUGACCAGCCACACUGGAACUGAGACACGGUCCAGACUCCUACGGGAGGCAGCAGUGGGGAAUAUUGCACAAUGGGCGCAAGCCUGAUGCAGCCAUGCCGCGUGUAUGAAGAAGGCCUUCGGGUUGUAAAGUACUUUCAGCGGGGAGGAAGGGAGUAAAGUUAAUACCUUUGCUCAUUGACGUUACCCGCAGAAGAAGCACCGGCUAACUCCGUGCCAGCAGCCGCGGUAAUACGGAGGGUGCAAGCGUUAAUCGGAAUUACUGGGCGUAAAGCGCACGCAGGCGGUUUGUUAAGUCAGAUGUGAAAUCCCCGGGCUCAACCUGGGAACUGCAUC